rnacentral:rRNA from 1 species
UACGGAGGGUGCAAGCGUUGUCCGGAAUCACUGGGCGUAAAGGGCGCGUAGGCGGCUCGGUAAGUAGGGGGUGAAAUCCUGCGGCUUAACCGCAGGGCUGCCUUCUAAACUGUCGAGCUUGAGCACGGUAGAGGCAGAUGGAAUUCCCGGUGUAGCGGUGGAAUGCGUAGAGAUCGGGAAGAACAUCAGUGGCGAAGGCGGUCUGCUGGGCCGUUGCUGACGCUGAGGCGCGACAGCGUGGGGAGCAAGCAGG